rnacentral:tRNA from 1 species
UAGUAAGAGGAAAAUCCGUCGACUUUUUAAAUCGUGAGGGUUCAAGUC